ensembl:lncRNA
GCACAUUGUUAUGGGGAACAUGACCUUCUUAACAUUCCAAGGUUGCGUGACAAAUGGCACCCUAUUCUCUAUAGCGCAGUCCUUCUGACCAGCUCCCUAUCAGUCCUGGUCAAAAGUAGUGUAUUAAAUAGGGGAAAGGGUGCAAUUUGGGACGCUGACCCCACAUUCCAUCCGAGCCCACCUCUGUCGGGGUACAGGGCACCGAAAAAGCUCUCUUAAAUGGGAACGGUGACAUCCUGUGUUAGGACGGUUGAGUAUACAGUAUAUAUGGACAGCAUUUUACACAGUAAUUGUAAAUUAUAUACAGUAUCAUAAUAAAUAAAAAAGGACAAUGACACAAAUACAGCUGAUGUUUAUCGAUGUUUUGCAGAAAUAGCUUGUUUUUCAGACUGCACUGAAAUCAAUCUGUACGUGAUUUUGUCCGGCUACCCACCUUCAAACUGAAUGCUCCCGUGUUCGCGGAGAAACUACAUUCACAAUAAACACUGCAUAUGUCGUCUCAAUCGGCAACUACCUUAAAAAUGGUGCAUGUUGCAGACGAAGCGCGUUUGCAUUGAAUCUUGGCCAUUGAAUGCAUAGGGAUGGGCUGCCACCUAGUGGUUGAGAUAAGAAGUGCAGCUCCAAGGGGCCAAGGUUCCGGUCUAUAGAGGCCCACAGUGGAGGUGUCAUAAUACCAUAAAACCUAGCAGUCAAACAGGGAAAUUAUUCCAAUCUUUUUUCCUCCAUUCAUUUUCCCCAUAGGGGAUUUUAGAAACACUUAAAAUAAGGGCUGUGUUUUGUGUAGGUUUACCCUGGCAUGAGGUUUUGAUAACCAUGUAAAUCUGUCUCGAACAAGGUGACUUUUAUCAAUAUAUUCGGUUCUAUUUACUCACCGAAUCGAAAAUGCUAAUUAGCAUCAAAGUAUACAUUACGCAAAACUACAAAUCCCUGCAAGCUCCUGCAUGUCAUCUCUAGCUGACACCUUUACUAACAGUUAUUGUGUCAAUUUAAACCAGAGUUUUCAUCUGGUUUAUAGAGACCAACAUCAGGGUUGGAUCUGGUUUAUAGAGACCAACAUCAGGGUUGGAUCUGGUUUAUAGAGACCAACAUCAGGGUUGGAUCUGGUUUAUAGAGACCAACAUCAGGGUUGGAUCUGG